UUGGUUUCUUGUGUUUAUUUGC
rnacentral:siRNA from 1 species